UUAUGACUGUUUAUGAUCACACAAUGUAAAGAUCGACCAGCUGAUUUCACAGAUUGCAACACCUGUUCAUGGACUUUUAUCGAUGUGACGAUGUUCAAAGUGGAUAUCUUUUUCCCGGAAACGAACAUGUGGACCUCUGGCAAUGCCUUAGGAGCGUCUUUUUCAAAAUUUUGCUGAAAAGAGGAUAUUUAUGAGGCUUUAUAGGCAUUGCUAGAUUACAAGCACCUCCAUGAUGAUGCAAAGGCAAUGCGACAGCAGAGCGAUAACCACAAACCUGAGCAGAUCAUUGGCAGAGGCUUGCUCAUCACUGAUGUAUUAAGCCCCAGAGAAAGAGGCAAUAUGAUAACAUCACGGCCCUCGUCCAACCGAUUCUCCUGCAGUCAUCAUAUCCAGUGCCCAGGUCGAGCUCAUCAGAACCACCGCUCAUCACUGAAAGGUUAUGGCGGUGCAUGUAGAUGCAGUGGCCGGUAGCUCCCAUGAACGUUGCAAAUGUUUUUGUUUUAAUUCUUGUCUUUCAUUUUUUUCAUUUUUUUUACUGAAGCACGUAUGGCAUAUGCUAGAGAUAUACUCAUGAACAUCCGAAAAUGAAAAGUGGUGAUGGGAUUAAGUGCAGCGAACUUUAAGACCAUCGCCACCCACGGCCUCUUCCGACCACUCCGCCAGUGAGCCAGACCUGCCGACCAAACACCACCGAGGAUGGCGUGAGAUAGCCGAGAGGAGCUAAGCUAACCCAGCUAGGACCUAUAGGGCUAUUCCACU
rnacentral:lncRNA from 1 species